rnacentral:lncRNA from 1 species
UGCUACAGAGAAAGGAGAAGGGGAGGGAGGGGGUAGCAGGCUUGGUAUAUGAGUGAGAGAGAGAGAGAGAGAGAGAGAGAGAGAGAGGUACGUCUACUAGUAUACUACUAACUAAAGUAAAUAAGUAAGUGUUACGUAGUAGUAGUGUGUCGUCGUUCGUUACGUUACGUACUACAACGNNNNNNNNNNNNNNNNNNNNNNNNNNNNNNNNNNNNNNNNNNNNNNNNNNNNNNGACGUAGUACGUACGUACGUAGAGUACGUAGUAGGUAGGUAGUAGGUAGGUAGGUAGGUAGGUAGGAGGUAGGUAGGUAGUAGGAGUAGUAGUAGUAGAGAGAGAGAGAGAGAGAGAGAGAGAGAGAGAGAGAGAGAGAGAGAGGUCUUCACUUGAAUCAAUCAACUAAAGAUAAAUGUGUUCAAGUGAUGUGCUCGUCUUUGGAACUCACAAAUGGUUCUAUAGCAAACUUUUAAAACCUAAGCUACCAGCUUAAAUGAAAAACUUUCAGAGAUUUAGGGGGCUUUUAGAAUUAUUGAUUUUAAAAUGCAGAAUACCAGAGCCAGGCUUUUCCCCUCUUCUGCAGUAAUUUGGAUGCAGUCCAACUUUUGUAAUUUUUGCGUACACGAGGCCUUCAUUGUCACCAGCCCAUAUUUUUUGCUUGGUGGGCUACUUUGAAUUGAUGUAUAGUGCACCCAUUUUGGGGUGAAUUUUGUAUUUAAAUUCAUGUAAAUUCAAUACAAGUUAACUUUCUCAAAAAAAAAAGGCGGCGGCAGAAUAUCAAAGCCAUUUGCAGGAUACUAAAACAUUGUGGAAUGUCAUUUCAAGUGAUAAUGUCAAGACCGUGCCUGAAUUGUCAACAUCAUCAGGGAUACAACCAUAUGUCCUGGAACACUGUUUUAAGGCUCAGACUCAAAUCUGGAACUUGACAGGGCUCAAUCAGAGUCAGCGAGUCAGACUCGCCCAUGUUUUCAAGAAACAACUAUAGAAAACCGUAGGAACCAGUGAGACUCAGCCAGUUUCCAAGGUUUCUUACUCACGCUGACCACCAUGCCUGGUCUGAAUAUCUCGACUGAGUCCGAGUCAGGCUCAGCGAGUUUUAAAACACUGCUUCUAAAGAUGGACUCUUAAAC